rnacentral:rRNA from 1 species
CAGCUCUCCGAGUAGUGUGGACGUUUAUUGGGCCUAAAGCAUCCGUAGCUGGCUGGACAAGUCCCCUGUUAAAUCCACCGAUUUAAUCGUUGGUGUGCGGGGGAUACUGUUCGGCUAGGGGACGGGAGAGGCCGACGGUAUUUCCGGGGUAGGGGUGAAAUCCUAUAAUCCCGGGAGGACCACCAGUGGCGAAGGCUGUCGGCUAGAACGCGCCCGACGGUGAGGGAUGAAAGCUGGGGGAGCGAACCGGAUUAGAGACCCGAGUAGUCC